UCAGACGAUGCGUCAUGCAUAUCAAUAAGCGGAGGAAAAGAAACUAACAAGGAUUCCCCUAGUAACGGCGAGUGAAGCGGAAGAGCUCAAAUUUGAAAUCUUAAAGGGUUUCCCUUUACGAAUUGUAGUUUAAAGAAGUGUUUUCUGUUGAGGUUUUGGUAAAAGUUCUUUGGAAUAGGACAUCAUAGAGGGUGAGAAUCCCGUAUUUGACCUUUACUUUCAACUUUGUGAUACACUUUCAAAGAGUCGGAUUGUUUAUGGGAAUGCAGUCCAAAAUGGGUGGUAAAUUUCAUCUAAAGCUAAAUAUUGGCGAGAGACCGAUAGCGAACAAGUACCGUGAGGGAAAGAUGAAAAGAACUUUGAAAAGAGAGUUAAACAGUACGUGAAAUUGUCAAAAGGGAAGCGUUUGACACCAGUGUUGUUUUUCUGAAAAUCAAUUAAAGAACUGUUUAUGCUAAGCUGUUUAGACUUUAUCAGCUAUCUGUUUAGUUUUGAGCUUUUCUUUAAUGCACUUUUCAGUUAACAAGUCAACAUCAAUUUCUUUUGCUGUAAAAAAGCUUGAGGAAGGUGGCUUGAGAUUCGUCUUAAGUGUUUAUAGCCUCUUGCCUAUGCAGUCGGAGAGAUUGAGGUCUGCAGCGUAGAUCCUUCGGGGCUAAAUGCAUUUGUGCUAAGUUAUAACAUUUUAUAGACAACUUGUUGACUAUGAUUUGUCUUGUAGCUUACUCGCUUAUGUUAUUUUACCUACGCUUAGGAUGUUGAAUCUGUGCGAGACUAC
rnacentral:rRNA from 1 species